rnacentral:rRNA from 1 species
AAGCUCGUAGUUGAAAUUGUGUCCCGCGGCGUCGGUCUACCGAUUGCGGUACGACAGGCGCGUCAGCGGGGCUUCUCGCCGGUGCGUGUUCUCCGCCGCGCGGAUUGCGCUUCGCGGCGCUCUCUUCGCGGCGGGCCCUCGCGGCUGUUUACUUUGAACAAAUUAGAGUGCUCAAAGCGGGCUAAUAUUUGCCUGAAUAUUGUGCGCAUGGAAUAAUAGAAUAGGACCUCGGUUCAAUUUUGUUGGCUUUCUGAUACCAGAGGUAAUGAUUAAUAGGGACAACUGGGGGCAUUCGUAUUGCGACGUUAGAGGUGAAAUUCUUGGAUCGUAGCAAGACGGACUAAAGCGAAAGCAUUUGCCAAAGGUGUUUUCAUUAAUCAAGAACGAAAGUUAGAGGUUCGAAGGCGAUUAGAUACCGCUGUAGUUCUAACCAUAAAUGAUGCCAGCCAGCGAUCCGCCGAAGUUAUUUUAUUUGAUUCGGUGGGCAGCUCCCGGGAAACCAA